CCGGGGCUUCAGCCCCGACCCAUACGGUAAAAAAAUAUAUUUUAUCUGGCCAAAAUAUAUUUUAAAUAUAUGGUAAAUAUAUGUUACAAACAGUGAAGUUCAAUGAAAUAUAUUUUUGAAACUGAAAAUAUAUUUUGUUUCAACCUUCAUAUACUUAAAAUAUAUUUAAACAUGUAUUUCAGGGGCAGGAAAAAUAUAUUUAUAUAUAAAAAAUAUAUUUCAGGGCGCAAGAAAAUACAUUUCCAAUCUUACAGUCGACAAUGCAAAUGUGCGUGGAAGAAAGCCUUGCGAACAAAACUAUCCAUUAUGUUUGAAGAAUUUUAAACACUUACAGAAAAACAUGAAUUUCCACAUAUUUUCCACAUUGACACUUUGUUCACAUAUCUUCCCAAAAAAUACAGAUCUGUGUAAUAGUGAUCAUGGCACCUCACAAAUGUGUGUUUUAGUCUAUUACUUAUUAAUUAAUUCAUUUAUUUAUGUAUUUAAUUGUAAUUUAUUGUCAGUGUAAUAUAGCGUUAAGAUCUGCGUCAAAUACAAAUAAAUAGAUUAAUAAAAUCGCUAGAUGUACGAUGUUAACUGUGACGUAAUUUGAAUGGGAAACCACUAGCAGCGCUCACGGACUUUUGGAGUACUGCGCAUGCGCGUCAUUUUGAACUGUAACGGUCGUCAGUCAACCGGGAGUUCUCGGAGUAAAAGCUGUAGAGUGUUUGGGAGACCGUGCUGCCUGCUGUUGUCGAUCUAUGAUGCUCCUGUCACUGAUAGUGGAGCCUGUAAUUAGCAGAAGCAGAGACGGUUUGUGCAACAGCAACCAGGUGCGGGUCAAAACCCAUCUGUCAAGACGCUUGUCCACUUGCUGUCCGCCCCACCAGCCAACGAUUGUGCUGGAGAACCACAAGUCACAGAAAAAGAGAAUGUCAUAAUCAACUGGAACAGCAUGAGGUGGUAGAGACAGAGAAGAAGUGCCCUUGAUGAGGAAACCAUGGCAGCCAUACGUCAAGAAGAGAUUUCCAAAUGUGUCCAAGGAGGCUUUGAGGAUUUGACGUGGGGAAACUGAGACUUCUUGAAAGCAAAAAAGUUAUAUUUGUUUGAAUAUUGUAAUUUUUUGAACAUUGUAAAGUAUGUUCCUUGCUGAUUAUUAUUCAAAUGUUCAUGUGUUAUAGACAACAAAUAAAAGUUUUUCAAAUGUGA